rnacentral:rRNA from 1 species
CCCUUAGAUGUUCUGGGCCGCACGCGCGCUACACUGACGAAUGCAACGAGCUUAUAACCUUGGCCGAAAGGUCUGGGUAAUCUCCAAAUUUCGUCGUGAUGGGGAUAGAUUAUUGCAAUUAUUAAUCUUCAACGAGGAAUGCCUAGUAAGCGCAAGUCAUCAGCUUGCGUUGAUUACGUCCCUGCCCUUUGUACACACCGCCCGUCGCUCCUACCGAUUGAAUGGUCCGGUGAAGCGCUCGGACCGCGGCCUCUUGACGGUUCGCUGUCGAUUGGCUGUGGGAAGUUCGUUAAACCUUAUCAUUUAGAGGAAGGUGAAGUCGUANCA